rnacentral:rRNA from 1 species
ACGGGUGAGUAACACGUAGGUAACCUACCCUUCAGUGGGGGACAACAGAGGGAAACUUCUGCUAAUACCGCAUACGAUCACGGACUGGGAUGUUCGUGGUGAAAGGAUUUAUUCGCUGAGGGAUGGGCCUGCGGCCUAUCAGGUAGUUGGUGGGGUAAUGGCCUACCAAGCCUGCGACGGGUAGCCGGACUGAGAGGUCGAUCGGCCACACUGGAACUGAGACACGGUCCAGACUCCUACGGGAGGCAGCAGUGGGGAAUAUUGCACAAUGGGGGAAACCCUGAUGCAGCGACGCCGCGUGGAGGAUGACGGCCUCGGGUUGUAAACUCCUUUUGUCGGGGACAAUGGUGAUGGUACCCGACGAAUAAGCCACGGCUAACUCUGUGCCAGCAGCCGCGGUAAGACAGAGGUGGCGAGCGUUGUUCGGAAUUACUGGGCUUAAAGGGCGCGUAGGCGGUGGUGUAAGUCUGGGGUGGAAUGCUACAGCUCAACUGUAGAGCUGCCUUGGAAACUGCAUUACUUGAGUCGGUGAGGGGAAGGUGGAAUUCCAGGU